CCAGACUCCUACGGGAGGCAGCAGUUAGGAAUAUUCGUCAAUGGGGGAAACCCUGAACGAGCAAUGCCGCGUGAGUGAUGAAGGCCCUAUGGGUUGUAAAACUCUUUUGUUGAGAAAGAAUGGUAAGAUUAGGAAAUGAUUCUUACUUGACGGUACUCUUCAAGAAAGCCACGGCUAACUACGUGCCAGCAGCCGCGGUAAUACGUAGGUGGCAAGCGUUGUCCGGAUUUACUGGGUGUAAAGGGCGUGUAGCCGGGCUGACAAGUCAGAUGUGAAAUCCCGUGGCUCAACCACGGAACUGCAUUUGAAACUGUCGGUCUUGAGUAUCGGAGAGGCAGGCGGAAUUCCUAGUGUAGCGGUGAAAUGCGUAGAUAUUAGGAGGAACACCAGUGGCGAAGGCGGCCUGCUGGACGACAACUGACGGUGAGGCGCGAAAGCGUGGGGAGCAAACAGGAUUAGAUACCCCUGUAC
rnacentral:rRNA from 1 species